rnacentral:rRNA from 1 species
UGAGUAACCUGCCCCAAACUCUGGGAUAAGCACUGGAAACGGUGUCUAAUACCGGAUAUGAACUUCAGCCGCAUGGCUAGGAGUUGGAAAGAAUCUCGGUUUGGGAUGGACUCGCGGCCUAUCAGCUAGUUGGUGAGGUAAUGGCUCACCAAGGCGACGACGGGUAGCCGGCCUGAGGAGGGUGACCGGCCACACUGGGACUGAGACACGGCCCAGACUCCGUACGGGAGCAG